AUACUUACCUGAUAGGGGAGAUACCAUGAUCAUGAAUGUGGUUUACCCAGGGCGAGGCUUCUCCAUUGCACUCCAGAUGUGCUAACCCCUGCGAUUUCCCAAAAUGUGGAAAAUUCAACUGCAUAAUUUGUCGUAGUGGGGGACUGCAUUCCUGCUCUCCUUUA
rnacentral:snRNA from 1 species